rnacentral:piRNA from 1 species
CCUAUGUAUAGAGCAACAUGACGCUCGGAGG